UAUAAUGAAAAUCAAGUAUAGUUGUGCACUGGAGACAGAUUUUAAAAGUAGGAGUCAAAAAAGAAAAAAAGAUAAAUUACAAUGAAUAAUUAGGCAAGUAGAUCGAUAUUAAAAUAGUGGAAGUAAGUAGAGUAGAAGGUAGAUGAGACAGAGG